rnacentral:rRNA from 1 species
CGCCGCCCGUCGGUGUCAACUGGCAUGUCCUGUGGAACGUCCUGCCGGUGGCGGACCGGGCUUUCGGCUUGCGUAAGGGCUUACGCCCGAAGCAGGCCGAACAGUACCGGCCGCCGGUCCAAUCCCGCCACGGUGCUCUUCACCGAGUGUCGAGGUGGGCCGGCACGUUUACUUUGAACAAAUUAGAGUGCUUAAAGCAGGCUGGUGUCCGCCUGAAUACUGUGUGCAUGGAAUAAUAGAAUAGGACCUCGGUUCUAUUUUGUUGGUUUUCGGAACCCGAGGUAAUGAUUAAUAGGGACAGGCGGGGGCAUUCGUAUUGCGACGUUAGAGGUGAAAUUCUUGGAUCGUCGCAAGACGAACCUAAGCGAAAGCAUUUGCCAAGUAUGUUCUCGUUAAUCAAGAACGAAAGUUAGAGGUUCGAAGGCGAUCAGAUACCGCCCUAGUUCUAACCAUAAACGAUGCCAGCCAGCGAUCCGCCGAAGUUCCUCCGAUGACUCGGCGGGCAGCUUCCGGGAAACCAAAGCUUUUGGGUUCCGGGGGAAGUAUGGUUGCAAAGCUGAAACUUAAAGGAAUUGACGGAAGGGCACCACCAGGAGUGGAGCCUGCGGCUUAAUUUGACUCAACACGGGAAACCUCACCAGGCCCGGACACCGGAAGGAUUGACAGAUUGAGAGCUCUUUCUUGAUUCGGUGGGUGGUGGUGCA